rnacentral:snRNA from 1 species
GUGUUCUUGCUUCAGCAGCACAUACACUAAAAUAAAAAUUACGGAACAAUACAGAGAAGAUUAGCAUGGCCCCCUGCACAAGGAUGACACACAAAUUCAUGAAACAUUCCAUAACAAA